UAACACAUGCAAGUCGAACGAGGCCCAUGCAGUGGCAACACUGCGGAAGGCCUAGUGGCGAACGGGUGAGUAACACGUGAGGAACUUGCCCCGGAGACCGGGAUAACUCUCCGAAAGGAGAGCUAAUACCGGAUGUCCUCACCGAAUCGCAUGGUUUGGUGAGGAAAUGGAUUCCGCUCCGGGAGAGCCUCGCGGCCUAUCAGCUAGUUGGUGGGGUAACGGCCCACCAAGGCAUCGACGGGUAGCUGGUCUGAGAGGACGAUCAGCCACACUGGGACUGAGACACGGCCCAGACUCCUACGGGAGGCAGCAGUGGGGAAUCUUGCGCAAUGGGCGAAAGCCUGACGCAGCAACGCCGCGUGCGGGAUGACGGCCUUCGGGUUGUAAACCGCUUUCAGUGGGGACGAACCAAGACGGUACCCACAGAAGAAGCCCCGGCCAACUACGUGCCAGCAGCCGCGGUAACACGUAGGGGGCAAGCGUUGUCCGGAUUUAUUGGGCGUAAAGAGCUCGUAGGUGGUUCGAUAAGUCGGGUGUGAAACCUCCAGGCUCAACCUGGAGACGCCACCCGAUACUGUCGUGACUAGAGUCCAGUAGGGGAGCAUGGAAUUCCUGGUGUAGCGGUGAAAUGCGCAGAUAUCAGGAGGACACCAGUGGCGAAGGCGGUGCUCUGGGCUGGAACU
rnacentral:rRNA from 1 species